rnacentral:rRNA from 1 species
AACUGCUUGCAGUUGCUGGAGACUGGCGCACGGGUGAGUAACGCGUAGGCAACCUGCCUUUUGCUGGGGAAUAACACUGCGAAAGUGGUGCUAAUACCGCAUGAUGCAACCGGUCCGCAUGGAUAGGUUGUUAAAGACUACGGUCGGCAAAAGAUGGGCCUGCGUGCCAUUAGCUAGUUGGUGAGGUAAGGGCUCACCAAGGCGAUGAUGGCUAGGGGGUCUGAGAGGAUGGUCCCCCACACGGGAACUGAGACACGGUCCCGACUCCUACGGGAGGCAGCAGUGAGGAAUCUUGCGCAAUGGGCGAAAGCCUGACGCAGCCACGCCGCGUGCCGGAAGAAGGUCCUAUGGAUUGUAAACGGCUUUUGUCAGGGAAGAAUCCCCGGGUUUCGAUCUGGGUUGACGGUACCUGAUGAAUAAGCACCGGCUAACUCCGUGCCAGCAGCCGCGGUAAUACGGAGGGUGCAAGCGUUGUCCGGAAUCAUUGGGUGUAAAGGGUGCGUAGGCGGGCGACUAAGUCUGGGGUGAAAUC